ACGAACGCUGGCGGCAGGCCUAACACAUGCAAGUCGAACGAUACCUUCGGGUAUAGUGGCGCACGGGUGAGUAACACGUGGGAAUAUACCUUUCGCUGGGGGAUAACAUCGGGAAACUGAUGCUAAUACCGCAUACGCCCUUUGGGGGAAAGAUUUAUCGGCGAAAGAUUAGCCCGCGUCCGAUUAGCUAGUUGGUGAGGUAAUGGCUCACCAAGGCUACGAUCGGUAGCUGGUCUGAGAGGAUGACCAGCCACACUGGGACUGAGACACGGCCCAGACUCCUACGGGAGGCAGCAGUGGGGAAUAUUGGACAAUGGGCGCAAGCCUGAUCCAGCCAUGCCGCGUGAGUGAUGAAGGCCUUAGGGUUGUAAAGCUCUUUCGACGGGGACGAUGAUGACGGUACCCGUAGAAGAAGCCCCGGCUAACUUCGU
rnacentral:rRNA from 1 species